AGAAAAGUAAGCUAAGACAAAGCUAAUGGGUUCAUACCCCGUAAAUAGAGUGAACACUCUCUUCUCUA
rnacentral:tRNA from 1 species